rnacentral:rRNA from 1 species
CAGCAGCCGCGGGAAUACGAAGGGGGCUAGCGUUGUUCGGAAUUACUGGGCGUAAAGCGCACGUAGGCGGCUUGGUAAGUUAGAGGUGAAAGCCCGGAGCUCAACUCCGGAAUUGCCUUUAAGACUGCCGAGCUAGUAGGUGAGAGAGGUAAGUGGAAUUCCGAGUGUAGAGGUGAAAUUCGUAGAUAUUCGGAAGAACACCAGUGGCGAAGGCGGCUUACUGGCUCAUUCUAGACGCUGAGGUGCGAAAGCGUGGGGAGCAAACAGGAUUAGAUACCCCUGUAGUCCCUGUCUCUUAUAC